ACUAAUUUGGCAGAUUAAGUGCUUUAAAUUUAGAAUUUGAAAAUGUGAUUUUUUACAGUUAGUA
rnacentral:tRNA from 1 species